GGGUUGUGAGGUUAAGCGACUAAGCGUACACGGUGGAUGCCCUGGCAGUCAGAGGCGAUGAAGGACGUGCUAAUCUGCGAAAAGCGUCGGUAAGGUGAUAUGAACCGUUAUAACCGGCGAUGUCCGAAUGGGGAAACCCAGUGUGAUUCGUCACACUAUCGUUAACUGAAUACAUAGGUUAACGAGGCGAACCGGGGGAACUGAAACAUCUAAGUACCCCGAGGAAAAGAAAUCAACCGAGAUUCCCCCAGUAGCGGCGAGCGAACGGGGAGCAGCCCAGAGUCUGAAUCAGCUUGUGUGUUAGUGGAACGGUCUGGAAAGUCCGACGGUACAGGGUGAUAGUCCCGUACACCAAAAUGCACAGGCUGUGAACUCGAAGAGUAGGGCGGGACACGUGGUAUCCUGUCUGAAUAUGGGGGGACCAUCCUCCAAGGCUAAAUACUCCUGACUGACCGAUAGUGAACCAGUACCGUGAGGGAAAGGCGAAAAGAACCCCGGCGAGGGGAGUGAAAAAGAACCUGAAACCGUGUACGUACAAGCAGUGGGAGCACCUUCGGGUGUGACUGCGUACCUUUUGUAUAAUGGGUCAGCGACUUAUAUUCUGUAGCAAGGUUAACCGUAUAGGGGAGCCGCAGGGAAACCGAGUCUUAACUGGGCGUUAAGUUGCAGGGUAUAGACCCGAAACCCGGUGAUCUAGCCAUGGGCAGGUUGAAGGUUGGGUAACACUAACUGGAGGACCGAACCGACUAAUGUUGAAAAAUUAGCGGAUGACUUGUGGCUGGGGGUGAAAGGCCAAUCAAACCGGGAGAUAGCUGGUUCUCCCCGAAAGCUAUUUAGGUAGCGCCUCGUGAAUUCAUCUUCGGGGGUAGAGCACUGUUUCGGCUAGGGGGUCAUCCCGACUUACCAACCCGAUGCAAACUACGAAUACCGAAGAAUGUUAUCACGGGAGACACACGGCGGGUGCUAACGUCCGUCGUGAAGAGGGAAACAACCCAGACCGCCAGCUAAGGUCCCAAAGUCAUGGUUAAGUGGGAAACGAUGUGGGAAGGCACAGACAGCCAGGAUGUUGGCUUAGAAGCAGCCAUCAUUUAAAGAAAGCGUAAUAGCUCACUGGUCGAGUCGGCCUGCGCGGAAGAUGUAACGGGGCUAAACCAUGCACCGAAGCUGCGGCAGCGACACUAUGUGUUGUUGGGUAGGGGAGCGUUCUGUAAGCCUGCGAAGGUGACCUGUGAGGGUUGCUGGAGGUAUCAGAAGUGCGAAUGCUGACAUAAGUAACGAUAAAGCGGGUGAAAAGCCCGCUCGCCGGAAGACCAAGGGUUCCUGUCCAACGUUAAUCGGGGCAGGGUGAGUCGACCCCUAAGGCGAGGCCGAAAGGCGUAGUCGAUGGGAAACAGGUUAAUAUUCCUGUACUUGGUGUUACUGCGAAGGGGGGACGGAGAAGGCUAUGUUAGCCGGGCGACGGUUGUCCCGGUUUAAGCAUGUAGGCUGGUUGUCCAGGCAAAUCCGGAUAAUCAAGGCUGAGGUGUGAUGACGAGGCACUACGGUGCUGAAGUAACAAAUGCCCUGCUUCCAGGAAAAGCCUCUAAGCAUCAGGUAACAUCAAAUCGUACCCCAAACCGACACAGGUGGUCAGGUAGAGAAUACCAAGGCGCUUGAGAGAACUCGGGUGAAGGAACUAGGCAAAAUGGUGCCGUAACUUCGGGAGAAGGCACGCUGGUGUGUAGGUGAAGUCCCUGCGGAUGGAGCUGAGACCAGUCGAAGAUACCAGCUGGCUGCAACUGUUUAUUAAAAACACAGCACUGUGCAAACACGAAAGUGGACGUAUACGGUGUGACGCCUGCCCGGUGCCGGAAGGUUAAUUGAUGGGGUUAUCCGUAAGGAGAAGCUCUUGAUCGAAGCCCCGGUAAACGGCGGCCGUAACUAUAACGGUCCUAAGGUAGCGAAAUUCCUUGUCGGGUAAGUUCCGACCUGCACGAAUGGCGUAAUGAUGGCCAGGCUGUCUCCACCCGAGACUCAGUGAAAUUGAACUCGCUGUGAAGAUGCAGUGUACCCGCGGCAAGACGGAAAGACCCCGUGAACCUUUACUAUAGCUUGACACUGAACAUUGAGCCUUGAUGUGUAGGAUAGGUGGGAGGCUUUGAAGCGUGGACGCCAGUCUGCGUGGAGCCAACCUUGAAAUACCACCCUUUAAUGUUUGAUGUUCUAACGUUGGCCCCUUACCGGGGUUGCGGACAGUGUCUGGUGGGUAGUUUGACUGGGGCGGUCUCCUCCCAAAGCGUAACGGAGGAGCACGAAGGUUAGCUAAUCCUGGUCGGACAUCAGGAGGUUAGUGCAAUGGCAUAAGCUAGCUUGACUGCGAGCGUGACGGCGCGAGCAGGUGCGAAAGCAGGUCAUAGUGAUCCGGUGGUUCUGAAUGGAAGGGCCAUCGCUCAACGGAUAAAAGGUACUCCGGGGAUAACAGGCUGAUACCGCCCAAGAGUUCAUAUCGACGGCGGUGUUUGGCACCUCGAUGUCGGCUCAUCACAUCCUGGGGCUGAAGUAGGUCCCAAGGGUAUGGCUGUUCGCCAUUUAAAGUGGUACGCGAGCUGGGUUUAGAACGUCGUGAGACAGUUCGGUCCCUAUCUGCCGUGGGCGCUGGAGAAUUGAGGGGGGCUGCUCCUAGUACGAGAGGACCGGAGUGGACGCAUCACUGGUGUUCGGGUUGUCAUGCCAAUGGCACUGCCCGGUAGCUAAAUGCGGAAGAGAUAAGUGCUGAAAGCAUCUAAGCACGAAACUUGCCCCGAGAUGAGUUCUCCCUGAGACUUUAAGUCUCCUGAAGGAACGUU
rnacentral:rRNA from 1 species